rnacentral:rRNA from 1 species
GACGAACGCUGGCGGCGUGCUUAACACAUGCAAGUCGAGCGGAAAGGCCCUUCGGGGUACUCGAGCGGCGAACGGGUGAGUAACACGUGAGUAAUCUGCCCUUGGCUUUGGGAUAACUACCGGAAACGGUGGCUAAUACCGGAUACGACAACCGUCUGCAUGGGCUGGUUGUGGAAAGUUUUUUCGGCCAGGGAUGUGCUCGCGGCCUAUCAGCUUGUUGGUGGGGUAAUGGCCUACCAAGGCUUCGACGGGUAGCCGGCCUGAGAGGGUGACCGGCCACACUGGGACUGGGACACGGCCCAGACCCCUAGGGGAGGCAGCGGGGGGGAAUAUGGGACAAGGGGCGGAAGCCUUACCCAACAACGCCGCGUGGGGGAGGCCGGCCUUCGGGUUGUAAACCUUUUUCAGUACCGACGAAGCCCCGAUGAUGGUGGUGAGGGUAGGUAAAGAAGAAGCCCCGGCCAACUACGU